rnacentral:rRNA from 1 species
UACGUAGGGUGCAGGCGUUAAUCGGAAUUACUGGGCGUAAAGCGUGCGCAGGCGGUUUGCUAAGACAGGUGUGAAAUCCCCCGGGCUUAACCUGGGAACUGCGCUUGUAACUGGCAAGCUAGAGUGUGGCAGAGGGGGGUAGAAUUCCACGUGUAGCAGUGAAAUGCGUAGAGAUGUGGAGGAACACCGAUGGCGAAGGCAGCCCCCCUGGGCUGAGAUUGACGCUCAGGCACGAAAGCGUGGGGAGCAAACAGG